rnacentral:rRNA from 1 species
GUUGACCUCAGAUCAGGUAGG